rnacentral:rRNA from 1 species
AGAGUUUGAUCCUGGCUCAGAACAAACGCUGGCGGCGUGCCUAACACAUGCAAGUCGUACGAGAAAGGGUCUUUCGGGAUCUGAGUAAAGUGGCGCACGGGUGAGUAACGCGUGGAUAAUCUGCCCUUCAGUUGGGAAUAACUCAUCGAAAGGUGGGCUAAUACCGAAUAACGCUGUGAGACUUUGGUCGAUCAGCCAAAGAGAGCCUCUGCUUGCAUGCCCUCGCUGAAGGAUGAGUCCGCGUACCAUUAGCUAGUUGGUAGGGUAAUGGCCUACCAAGGCGACGAUGGUUAGCUGGUCUGAGAGGAUGAUCAGCCACACUGGAACUGAGACACGGUCCAGACUCCUACGGGAGGCAGCAGUGAGGAAUCUUGCGCAAUGGGGGCAACCCUGACGCAGCAACGCCGCGUGAGUGAGGAAGGUCUUCGGAUCGUAAAGCUCUGUCGGAUGGAAAGAACCGCAUAGGGGUAAAUAGCCCCUGUGUCUGACGGUACCAUCAAAGGAAGCACCGGCUAACUCCGUGCCAGCAGCCGCGGUAAUACGGGGGGUGCAAGCGUUGUUCGGAAUUAUUGGGCGUAAAGAGCGUGUAGGCGGCCGGAUGUGUCAGAUGUGAAAGCCCUGGGCUUAACCCAGGAAGUGCAUUUGAAACUGUCCGGCUUGAGUAGGGGAGAGGGAAGUGGAAUUCCUGGUGUAGAGGUGAAAUUCGUAGAUAUCAGGAGGAACACCGGUGGCGAAGGCGACUUCCUGGCCCUAUACUGACGCUGAGACGCGAGAGCGUGGGUAGCAAACAGGAUUAGAUACCCUGGUAGUCCACGCCGUAAACGAUGUUCACUAGGUGUUGGGGGUAUUGACCCCCUCAGUGCCGGAGCUAACGCAUUAAGUGAACCGCCUGGGGAGUACGGUCGCAAGACUAAAACUCAAAGGAAUUGACGG